GAUGAACGCUGGCGGCGUGCCUAAUACAUGCAAGUCGAGCGAAUGGAUUAAGAGCUUGCUCUUAUGAAGUUAGCGGCGGACGGGUGAGUAACACGUGGGUAACCUGCCCAUAAGACUGGGAUAACUCCGGGAAACCGGGGCUAAUACCGGAUAACAUUUUGAACCGCAUGGUUCGAAAUUGAAAGGCGGCUUCGGCUGUUACUUAUGGAUGGACCCGCGUCGCAUUGGCUAGUUGGUGAGGUAACGGCUCACCAAGGCCACGAUGCGUAGCCGAGCUGAGAGGGUGAUCGGCCAGACUGGGACUGAGACAAGGCCCAGACUCCUACGGGAGGCAGCAGUAGGGAAUCUUCCGCAAUGGACGAAAGUCUGACGGAGCAACGCCGCGUGAGUGAUGAAGGCUUUCGGGUCGUAAAACUCUGUUGUUAGGGAAGAACAAGUGCUAGUUGAAUAAGCUGGCACCUUGACGGUACCUAACCAGAAAGCCACGGCUAACUACGUGCCAGCAGCCGCAGUAA
rnacentral:rRNA from 1 species